UACGUAGGGACCAAGCGUUGUUCGGAUUUACUGGGCGUAAAGGGCGCGUAGGCGGCUUAACAAGUCACUUGUGGAAUCUCCGGGCUUAACUCGGAACGGCCAAGUGAAACUGUCAAGCUAGAGUGCAGAAGGGGCAAUCGGAAUUCUUGGUGUAGCGGUGAAAUGCGUAGAUAUCAAGAGGAACACCUGAGGUGAAGACGGGUUGCUGGGCUGACACUGACGCUGAGGCGCGAAAGCCAGGGGAGCAAACGGG
rnacentral:rRNA from 1 species